rnacentral:lncRNA from 1 species
UCUCUAGCCAAAAUAAAGCUGUAAUACUUAAUUAACAUCUAUAAAUAAAAACUCUACCAUGUGAUAAAGGAAAUAAAUGUCUAAAAAGUCUAGGGGAAAAGAUCCAGGGGCGUGUAUGAUAAUUUACUGCAAUAAGAUGUGUAGAAUUUCUUUAUAGAAAAUAUAUCUCCACAAAUCUACCAGAUGAUAUGGUGUAGAUAGUUACUUAUUAAGAAAUACGUCAUUGGCAAGGGUGUCCUCAGUUGUUUUUUGUUUCUGUUUUUCCCUUAUUGCAUGGUAUUCAAAUAAUUGCUUCUCCUCCCCACUGGGUCUGGCUGAGGUGGUAUGAAUGCAUAGCUUCUUAUAGGGCAAAGUGAUGAAGAUAGGGUGAUUUUCAAGAGAUCCUUGCCAUAGAACAUCAUUGGGAUAAAGAAAUGCACUGCGUAUAUCAUCCUUUGGUAGCUGGUAUAUUUCUAAGCAGUGAUAGCGCUGGAUCCUUAACCCAUUGAGCCACCAGGGAACUCCUAAAUUGAAUUUUUAUGUAAACCAUGACUUUGUUGAAUUAGACUCAGUAUUAAUUAGGUCAGAGUACUAAUUUGAUCCAAAUAUUAAUUAGGUCAGAGUAUUAAAGUUGAGUGAAUUACAAUCAUAGAGGUUGGAUCUAGAAAGGACCCAAGAGAUCAUCUAAGCCCAGUCAUUCUCAGUGCUGUGAAGGAUAGGAGUCGCCAUGUCUUUUUGGGGGGAGGGGACAAGGAUGGCAGCGAGAUGGAGACUGCAAAGGGAAGACGCCCUGAAACAGAUUUCUCCAGGACCACUCAUGCCCUCUGCCCCUUCCUUCCUACUUUGAGCCUCACUAGACUGAAUAAGCUAUUGCUACCUCUAUUACACAUCCUUCAGGUGUGCUGGGCUGGAAAAUAAGACUGGAAACAUCUAAUCCAUCCCUCUUCUUUUACAGAAGAGAGAAACAGCCUCAGAGAGAUCAGGUGAAUGCCCAGGGGCACACGCCUUACUAGAAUCAGAGCCAGACCUAGGACCCAGGCAACCUGACCCUUCAGUCUCUAUAGAGUUUAGGGAGGAAGAACAAUCCGACGUUCCCACUGAAUAAAGAGUAUCCUUUUCUUGUUUUCAAAAUUGUAAUAGUUGUGUAAGCUCUCCGUCAAGUUUCUAUUAAGGAAUAGGUUCAAGCUGCCAGUUUCCAAAUAGGCUGUUUUUGCAUGUGAACUUUCACUUUUCAUUGUGUAGGGUUACAUCUUGAUUUUAAGCAACUUCUUUUAAGAUUCGAUGGGUAAUCUCCAUUUCUCAGCCUACCCCACAUAUAUUUGGUUUUCGUUUAUGGAGGGGAAACAAACUAGUUUUCAAGUGUAUGAAUUCUAGUUAUAGAUUCUGAACUAAAAAGUAACUUUUUGUUUAAUGUGGUAUUCUUUGAAUAUCCAGCUGCAUAGUAUCUAUAUUAUUGGUUUUGAAUGCAAUCUAUAAUACCCUUUUAUAGUCUAUGGACAGUUUUUAAAAAUCAUUUUAAAGUUUUGGGACAUCUUCAAUCAAAAGGAUGGAAUUUCUGUCAACACAAUUAGGAUAUUUCUGAAGGGAACUUAUUUAGAGAUAGGAAGGGGAAAGAAAAUGCGAAAUAAUGAAAAAACCUACAAUAGCAAUAUAUAGAAACACAAACUUUGUAAAUUCUUAUAUUAUCCAGCUUACUCUCCUAAAAAGAAAUUCAAACAUUUUUUUUAAUUUCACAAAUUUUUGUCUUAUAAAUUAUAUUUACCAGAUCAGAGUUGAAGAAAAAAGGUGAAAUUCUAGGAUGUUAAGAAACAAAAAAGGUAGAAUGAAAUUAUUUGCCUUUUGAAUGCAGUGUUGAAUUUUGCUAGACUUCUAAUGUUCCUCUUUGUAUUACACUGGAAUUAGAAAUUUUUACCACUCAUUUCAAAGAGCUUUGAAAAUGCUUUGGCAUAAUUUAUUUAUUUGUGGUUAAGUAGAAUUAGGAAGAAUCAGUAAUAUAGAAUCCAAACAGUAAUUGUGCAUACUGUAUUCAAGUGAUUUUUUAUGCCUGUUUUACCUUCUGUGAUUCUUAAAUUUUAUAAAUCAAAUACCUUAGUAUACUUCCACUAGACAUUAAUUUAUAGUUGAUUAUUUAUACCAGAUGAAGUAGCAGGUCCAUUUUAGUAUUAAUCCACUCAGAUUAACUUUAUCUAACUGAACUUUUUAUAUAUCUACAGUCCAUUAUAUUACAACUUUUUAAAUAGCAUUUAUAAUAAAAAGAACUUUUGUUUUAUAAAGUAUUUGUUACAAAAGAUAAACCCAUCUUGCCAAAAACCAUUACAAUUUCUAUGCAUUGUGUAUAUUCAGUGAUGUCGUCGUUGAGAUUUUGCAUGUUGUUGUAGGUGCUCUUUCAUAUAUGUGUGUUUGUGGUAUUUAUGUGGAACUGUUAACCAUUGCUGCUAUCACGUAUUGUAGUUAAACUGAAAAACUGUGCUAAGAGGCUGUGCCAGUCAGCACGUGUACGUGUGACUUGUGAAAGUAUGUACUUAGCUGUUUAAUAUUUUGAGCCAGCACUUAGUGGCCACUACCGAAGGAAAUGUAGUUUUCAAGUGAUGCCAACUUCAAAAUCUUGCUUCAUAUGUACGAUUCCUAAUUCUAGAUCAGCUUUCCUUCCACACUUUCCCCAACUCUUUAAAGGGAAAUGUUUGCAGAAAGAGAAAGCAAGAAUUCCGAACUUUCCUAGUACUCCCCACCUUAAAUCUUUUAUUUUUCCCAAUUCUUGAGAAAUUCAAUAGAAUGACAAUGUAGCAGCGUAUUUCCUUUGUUCUGAUAUUUUUAGGUUGAACAAUGUAAUGAGAGGACUGUGAGGUGCAUACAUUUUUUUUGUGUGUGUGGUUAUCAUGGUGCAUUGUUUGUAUUGCAUUUAAUAAGAAUAGUUAGUGCUUUCAUGCUGUUUGUAACGGACCAUGGAAACCUCAGAGUUCCCAAAUAUUAACUUUUAUAUUCAACAUUUGUGUAGACUUACUGAACGUGUUUCGUUGCCUUAAGAGCGUCAGAAUUUUUUCAUGCCUACUUGUCUUUAGUUUGCUUUCUGGUAUUUCCAGCUUGCCUCAGCAGUUCCAAACUCUGACAGUAGAGAGAACAUUAUUUUAAGGGAUUGCUUCUACUUUUCUUUGUUAAAAUUCAACAGGGGGAAGUAUCAUUAUACUUUAUUUAUGCAUUUAUAGUCUUAAAGUGGAAAGGAAACUGUUAUAAAAUGUUAAGAAAAGAAGGCUGCUUCCUUAAGAGCCUUUUCAUACCAACAUUCCACAACUCCUCACUUAGUGCAAGGUUUCAGCCUGUCUAUUCAAUGGGUUUAUAAUUAGAAGAUUCUUUAAUAAAGGGACAGUCUCUUGAGUUACAUUAUAGGCUUUCUGGUGACUGUCAGAUAUAUGGUGACAGCCAAUGCUGUAUUUGGAAACAUUGCUUCUGAAAUUGCCGAUUUAAUUCUAAGAAUAUUAAAAUGAGUUCAUCAAGGACCCUGCCACUUCUUUGCUUAAAGGAAAAGAAGGGGCUCUUUUAACUCUGAGCCUUUUCUCCAGAAUAUGCUUUAAACGUUUGUCCCUCGGUGGAGGUAACAAAGCAAUAAAAGGAAAUUCAAUUAUGUAUGUUCUAAAGAAGUUCCGCCCUUGUGCAAUGGCCUCCAGAGUGACACUAAAAUAUUUCUUGGUUCUUGCAUCAAGAGUUUUCAGGCAGGGCCUUUGUCCUUAGAAUUCCUUUUAUUAUUUUGAACACCAAAGAUGAUGGCGUGAUACGUCCUGAGGAUUAACAGUUUCUAUUAGAUAGCAGUGGGCAUGUUUAUUUGAAUCCUGCUCUUGGAUUUAUUUACCCCCUUUGUGUCUUCUGUACAUUUUGUAUGUCCGUCCCGAGGCCUUUAUCAAACUAGGGCAACUUUUUAAUCAACAAAUACAUAUGUAUUUAUUAGGUUUCUAAUUUAUAGAAUUUGAUUUCGCCAUGACAUUAAACUUUUUUUCACUACUAAAGUUAGACAUAGAUUUGCCCAUUUAGCCACAUAGUUUGUACCUUUUUCAUUGUAAUCUAAAAAUGCAACUGUAACCCCAUAGGCCUGAAAACUGGUAGAGAAUGACUAGAAGCAUUAUUGAUUCUACAGAAUCUCAUGUCUCUGUUAAAAUGAAGAACUUUGGUGAUUUCCUAGAAUGAAUGCUGUAUUCAACUUAAAUUCUUCCAUUUUAUAAGGAUGAUUUUAGGAUUCCUUUUACUCUACCGCUUAAAUUAAUUGGGAAUGAAAAGGUAGAUUUGCCAAUUUGGUCAGUAUAAUUUAACACUAGGCAUCUCUUCAGAAACGUAGUGACCAUAAUUAAUACUUCAAAAAUUUUAUAGGAGUUCCCAUUGUGGCGCAGCAGAAAUGAAUCUGAGUGGUAUCCAUGAGGAUACUGGUUCAAUCCCUGGCCUCGCUCAGUGGGUUAAGGAUCUGGCAUUGCUGUAAGCUGUGGGGUAGGUUGCAGAUGAGGCUUGGAUCCCUUGUUGCUGUGGCUGUGGGGUAGGCCAGCAUCUGUAGCUCCAGUUUGAUCCCUAGCCUGGGAACUUGCAUAUGCUGAGGGUGCGGCCCUAAAUG